CAUACGGGGGGCAGCAGUGGGGAAUAUUGGACAAUGGGCGAAAGCCUGAUCCAGCCAUGCCGCGUGUGUGAAGAAGGCCUUCGGGUUGUAAAGCACUUUCAGUGGGGAAGAAAGCCUUGGGGCUAAUACCCUCGAGGAAGGACAUCACCCACAGAAGAAGCACCGGCUAACUCCGUGCCAGCAGCCGCGGUAAUACGGAGGGUGCGAGCGUUAAUCGGAAUUACUGGGCGUAAAGCGCGCGUAGGCGGUCUGAUAAGCCGGUUGUGAAAGCCCCGGGCUCAACCUGGGAACGGCAUCCGGAACUGUCAGGCUAGAGUGCAGGAGAGGAAGGUAGAAUUCCCGGUGUAGCGGUGAAAUGCGUAGAGAUCGGGAGGAAUACCAGUGGCGAAGGCGGCCUUCUGGACUGACACUGACGCUGAGGUGCGAAAGCGUGGGUAGCAAACAGGAUUAGAUACCCUAGUAGUC
rnacentral:rRNA from 1 species